rnacentral:rRNA from 1 species
ACAGUGGACGCGAGCAUCUGUGGCCAAGUUUUUAAGGGCGCACGGUGGAUGCCUUGGCACCAGGAACCGAUGAAGGACGUGGGAGGCCACGAUAGGCCCCGGGGAGCUGUCAACCGAGCUUUGAUCCGGGGGUGUCCGAAUGGGGAAACCCGGCAGUCGUCAUGGGCUGUCACCCGCACCUGAAUGUAUAGGGUGUGUGGAGGGAACGCGGGGAAGUGAAACAUCUCAGUACCCGCAGGAAGAGAAAACAACCGUGAUUCCGGGAGUAGUGGCGAGCGAAACCGGAUGAGGCUAAACCGUAUGUGUGUGAUACCCGGCAGGGGUUGCGCAUGCGGGGUCGUGGGAGUUUCCUUCAGUCGUCUGCCGGCGGCUGGGCGAGUGAGAAACCAUUGUGGUAGGCGAAGGGCAUGCGAAAGGCCCGGCGUAGAGGGUAAGACCCCCGUAGCUGAAACUGCAAUGGCUCGUUUGGGAGCCACCCAAGUAGCACAGGGCCCGAGAAAUCCUGUGUGAAUCUGGCGGGACCACCCGUUAAGCCUAAAUAUUCCCUGGUGACCGAUAGCGGAUAGUACCGUGAGGGAAUGGUGAAAAGUACCGCGGGAGCGGAGUGAAAUAGUACCUGAAACCGUGUGCCUACAAGCCGUGGGAGCGUCGCACAGUGGGCUUGCCUGCUGUGUCGUGACUGCGUGCCUUUUGAAGAAUGAGCCUGCGAGUUUGCGGUAUGUUGCGAGGUUAACCCGUGUGGGGGAGCCGUAGCGAAAGCGAGUCCGAAUAGGGCGUUCAGUAGCAUGCUCAAGACCCGAAGCGGAGUGAUCUAGCCAUGGGCAGGGUGAAGCGGCUGUAAGAGGUCGUGGAGGCCCGAACCCACCAGAGUUGAAAAUCUGGGGGAUGACCUGUGGUUAGGGGUGAAAGGCCAAUCAAACUCCGUGAUAGCUGGUUCUCCCCGAAAUGCAUUUAGGUGCAGCGUCGCGUGUUUCUUACCGGAGGUAGAGCACUGGAUAGGCGAUGGGCCUUACCGGGUUACUGACCUUAGCCAAACUCCGAAUGCCGGUAAGUGAGAGCGCGGCAGUGAGACUGUGGGGGAUAAGCUCCAUGGUCGAGAGGGAAACAGCCCAGAGCAUCGACUAAGGCCCCUAAGCGUGUGCUAAGUGGGAAAGGAUGUGGAGUCGCAGAGACAACCAGGAGGUUGGCUUAGAAGCAGCCACCCUUGAAAGAGUGCGUAAUAGCUCACUGGUCUAGUGAUUCUGCGCCGACAAUGUAGCGGGGCUCAAGUACACCGCCGAAGUCGUGUCAUUCGAACAUAUACUCCUAACGGGGGUUCGGAUGGGUAGGGGAGCGUCGUGUGCCGGGUGAAGCAGCCGUGGAAACGAGUUGUGGACGGUUCACGAGUGAGAAUGCAGGCAUGAGUAGCGAUACACACGUGAGAAACGUGUGCGCCGAUUGACUAAGGGUUCCUGGGUCAAGCUGAUCUGCCCAGGGUAAGUCGGGACCUAAGGCGAGGCCGACAGGCGUAGUCGAUGGACAACCGGUUGAUAUUCCGGUACCCGCUUUGAAGCGCCAACGCUGAAUCUGGUGAUGCUAAGCCCGUGAAGCCCCCUGCGGUCUGUCUUUGACAGCNNNNNNNNNNNNNNNNNNNNNNNNNNNNNNNNNNNNNNNNNNNNNNNNNNNNNNNNNNNNNNNNNNNNNNNNNNNNNNNNNNNNNNNNNNNNNNNNNNCCGUGGGUGUGGUGGAGCCGGUGAUCCGAGCUGGUAGUAGGUGAGUGAUGGGGUGACGCAGGAAGGUAGUCCAUCCCGGGCGGUGGUUGUCCCGGGGUAAGGGUGUAGGGCGAGGAGUAGGUAAAUCCGCUUCUCUUGUGCCUGAGACCUGAUGCCGAGCCGAUUGUGGUGAAGUGGAUGAUCCUAUGCUGUCGAGAAAAGCCUCUAGCGAGUUUCAUGGCGGCCCGUACCCUAAACCGACUCAGGUAGUCAGGUAGAGAAUACCGAGGCGUUCGGGUGAACUAUGGUUAAGGAACUCGGCAAAAUGCCCCCGUAACUUCGGGAGAAGGGGGGCCACGUCUGGUGAUGGGCUUUGCGCCUUGAGCUGGGGGUGGCCGCAGAGACCAGCGAGAAGCGACUGUUUACUAAAAACACAGGUCCGUGCGAAGCCGUAAGGCGAUGUAUACGGACUGACGCCUGCCCGGUGCUGGAACGUUAAGGGGACCGGUUAGUCAGGAUUCGUUCUGGCGAAGCUGAGAACUUAAGCGCCAGUAAACGGCGGUGGUAACUAUAACCAUCCUAAGGUAGCGAAAUUCCUUGUCGGGUAAGUUCCGACCUGCACGAAUGGCGUAACGACUUCUUGACUGUCUCAACCAUAGGCCCGGUGAAAUUGCAGUACGAGUAAAGAUGCUCGUUUCGCGCAGCAGGACGGAAAGACCCCGGGACCUUUACUAUAGCUUGAUAUUGGUGUUCGGUUCGGCUUGUGUAGGAUAGGUGGGAGACUGUGAAGCAUGCACGCCAGUGUGUGUGGAGUCGUUGUUGAAAUACCACUCUGGUCGUGCUGGAUGUCUAACCUGGGUCCGUGAUCCGGAUCAGGGACAGUGUCUGGUGGGUAGUUUAACUGGGGCGGUUGCCUCCUAAAGAGUAACGGAGGCGCCCAAAGGUUCCCUCAGCCUGGUUGGUAAUCAGGUGUUGAGUGUAAGUGCACAAGGGAGCUUGACUGUGAGACUGACGGGUCGAGCAGGGACGAAAGUCGGGACUAGUGAUCCGGCGGUGGCUUGUGGAAGCGCCGUCGCUCAACGGAUAAAAGGUACCCCGGGGAUAACAGGCUGAUCUUCCCCAAGAGUCCGUAUCGACGGGAUGGUUUGGCACCUCGAUGUCGGCUCGUCGCAUCCUGGGGCUGGAGUCGGUCCCAAGGGUUGGGCUGUUCGCCCAUUAAAGCGGCACGCGAGCUGGGUUUAGAACGUCGUGAGACAGUUCGGUCCCUAUCCGCUGCGCGCGUAGGAGUCUUGAGAAGGGCUGUCCCUAGUACGAGAGGACCGGGACGGACGAACCUCUGGUGUGCCAGUUGUCCUGCCAAGGGCAUGGCUGGUUGGCUACGUUCGGGAAGGAUAACCGCUGAAAGCAUCUAAGCGGGAAGCCUGCUUCGAGAUGAGGGCUCCCACCCACGUGAUGGGGUAAGGCUCCCUGUAGACGACAGGGUUGAUAGGCCAGAUAUGGAAGCCCAGUAAUGGGUGGAGUUGACUGGUACUAAUAGGCCGAGGGCUUGUCCAUAGUUG